UUUUCAGUUGCUGAUGGUUUGAUGCACAUAGAUAAAUGACCUUUGCAGGACUGAUUACUGAGAUCCUGAGAACCAACACAUCCAAGAGAAAGAAACAGGAAGAAAAACUUGUGCAUAAUACAAGGAACAAAACACUAAAGGAGAUAUUGAAGGAGAAGAAAGUUAAACUGAAGGAGUUAUACCUUUUUCGAUUCAGAAGUUGGAGAGAAAUGGAAAUAUGUACAAGUCCUGUCCAAAUAUGUACAAUGAAGUUGUACCAAAGAAGCUUAACUUGAACCUAAGAAUAAAAAGCUUUAAAGAAAAGACUGCAAAAAUUAAGUUACUAAAAAUUAAGCUCUCCACUGGAAUUCAUAGAGAAAAGGAAGAUUACAGGAAACUUAAUUUGAAAUUACAGGAAGACAUUUUGGACAAACCUCUGUAGAAGCUGUUAUCUCUCUAUGAACUUAAAGAGUAUUUGAAAGUGGAGGUUGAACUGAGUGGGUUUGGCUAUGGUGAACCAGAAUAAAAUGAAGAUCACAACGGCAUCCUAUAUCAUAAACACAUCAUCAGUUAGUUAAGAAGAAUCUGAAUUUCCAACAAAGGAAAGAGUGAAAGAUGGAAAGUUCAGUUGUACAAAAAAAUCAAAUUUAGCUGUCUUUCUUUUGUAAUAGUGUACAAUGAUAAUUUGAUAGGGGUGUGGUGAUAUAAUACGUGUAUCAUAUCAUGAAGCUAUGAUAUGAUUAUAUCGAUAUACCUUC